rnacentral:rRNA from 1 species
UACAGAGGUGCCCAAGCGUUUGUUCGGAUUCAUUGGGCGUAAAGGGGUGCGUAGGUGGCGCUGUAAGUCGGGUGUGAAAUUUCGGAGACUUGAACCUCCCGGAAACUGCAUUCGAAUACUGCGGUGCUCGAGGACUGGAGAGGAGACUAGGCAAUUCAUGGUGUAGCAGUAGAAAUGCGUAGAGAGUCAUGAGGAAGACCAGGUGGCGAAGGCGGGUCUCUGGACAGUUCCUGACACUGAGGCACGGAAGGCCAGGGGAGCAAACGG